rnacentral:rRNA from 1 species
UACGGGGGGAGCAAGCGUUGUUCGGAAUCACUGGGCGUAAAGGGCGUGUAGGCGGUUCGGUAAGUGGGAUGUGAAGUCCCCGGGCUCACCCCGGGACCUGCAUCCCAAACUGCUGAGCUUGAGUACAGGAGAGGGUGGGGGAAUUCCAGGUGUAGCGGUGAAAUGCGUAGAUAUCUGGAGGAACACCGGUGGCGAAGGCGCCCACCUGGCCUGCUACUGACGCUGAUGCGCGAAAGCUAGGGGAGCAAACGGG